rnacentral:lncRNA from 1 species
AUUUUGAUUCCUUGUUUAAGAGAGACAAAACAAUCUCUGUUUUAUUGUUAUGAUGUCAAAAGAAUAGGGACUAUCUGAAACCGUCUAAUCCCCAAAUUCAGUAGAAAAUCUAGCUUGAAUCCUCCAAGCACACUAUUCUUUGAAUCAUUUUUUCCAUAUCAAUAAAAUAAAAAGAAUAGAAGCAUGUUGGGUCAAUGCUUAGAUGCCUAGGAACAAAACUUUGUUCCAUGUGCUAAGAAAUCUACAACCUCGAUAAAAUCCCCCAACCAACUAAAAACAUGUGAUAGUCAAAAGAAAAAUUGAUAGCCUGGUUAAAGCCAUGACUCAGUUUUUGCAAGCAUAUUUUGCUGUCGUUCACAUAUAAUUCAAGACAAUUCGACCAUAUGAUUCUAAAAAUCACACCAAAAAUUAAGUGGAGAUCAAAUUUGUAAAAAAGUUCAUAACAUCUGUAAUUAUCAUAAAUUCAAUGGAAAGCUCAUAUGAUGUGUUAGUCACUUAUUUUUCUUACUCAAAAGAUGUGCUGGAUCUAAAGCAGGACCACCAACAAUCAAAAUUAUGGAGUUGUACACAUUAUAUUUCAGACACUUAAACCCAAUUAAAAGAGCUAGAAAUUCAUCGCAUCUGCUCUUUCUGGGUACUCAUAAUCAAGUGAAAACACAAAGAGGAAACUGAAAGAGAAUAUCUAAUACAAACUAGUUCCAAAUAUCAAACCAAAAAUGCCAAAAUCUUCCUGAUGACACAAUAGCAAGAAAAGGAAAAAAUAAUGAAAGAAUAAAUCUUUGCUUGGACAAAAAUCUGGCUUGUAUCUCCUCUUUAUUGUUCACCUUUGAACUAUUCAUCAAACAAAACAACUUCUAGACCUAUAACAUACUCCAUCCAAAACUUCUUAUGAAAACAUGAAGAACUGAAAAACAACCAGAACCAAAUCAAAGAACUCCAUGAAUCCUUCAUUAUUCGAGCACACAUCUCACAGAUUAAACUAACGACAUCGAAAAAAAAUCUAAAGGACAGAGAGAAGAAAGAUCAAAGAAGAUGGAAGAAAAAGAAGAACACCAACUUGAUUUUAACAUAGGAACUACUCCAAUCCGUUGCUUGGAAGACGUCAACACCGGCCAAAGCACUCCUAUUUCACUGAAAUUGUAUUCAACUAGAU